rnacentral:rRNA from 1 species
GACGAACGCUGGCGGCGUGCUUAGCACAUGCAAGUCGAGCGGUAAGGCCCUUUCGGGGGUACACGAGCGGCGAACGGGUGAGUAACACGUGGGUGACCUGCCCUCAGCUCUGGGAUAAGCCUGGGAAACCGGGUCUAAUACCGGAUAUGACUCCAUGACGCAUGUUGUGGGGUGGAAAGCCUUGUGCGGCUGAGGAUGGGCCCGCGGCCUAUCAGCUUGUUGGUGGGGNGAUGGCCUACCAAGGCGACGACGGGUAGCCGGCCUGAGAGGGCGACCGGCCACACUGGGACUGAGACACGGCCCAGACUCCUACGGGAGGCAGCAGUGGGGAAUCUUGCGCAAUGGGCGAAAGCCUGACGCAGCGACGCCGCGUGA